CAGUUUCCGUAGGUGAACUGCGGAAGGAUCAUUGUCGAAACCUGCCCAGCAGAAAGACCCGCGAACAGGUUGAGCACUCACCCGGGGGGA
rnacentral:rRNA from 1 species